ensembl:misc_RNA Metazoa_SRP Metazoan signal recognition particle RNA
GCCGGGCACGAUGGCUCACGCCUGUAAUCCCAGCACUUUGGGAGGCUGAGGUGGGUGGAUCACCUGAGGUCAGGAGUUCGAGACUAGCCUGACCAACAUGGUGAAACCCCAUCUCUA